rnacentral:rRNA from 1 species
UACAGAGGUGCCAAGCGUUAGGCGGAAUCACUGGGCUUAAAGCGCGUGUAGGUGGGUCGUUAAGUGUCCGCGUGAAAUCCCACGGCUCAACCGUGGAACUGCCGGGCAUACUGGCGAUCUUGAGGCAUUCAGGGGCGAGCGGAACAAGUGGUGGAGCGGUGAAAUGCGUAGAUAUCACUUGGAACGCCAAUGGUGAAAACAGCUCGCUGGGAAUGAUCUGACACUGAAACGCGAAAGCCAGGGGAGCGAACGGG